GGGGGUACAGCUCAGUGGUAUAGUGUGUGUGCUUAGCAUGCAUCAGGUCUUGGGUUCAAUCCCCAGUGCCUCCA
rnacentral:tRNA from 1 species